rnacentral:rRNA from 1 species
UACGAAUAGGGCAAGUGUUAUUCUUCGUGAUUGGGCGUAAAGGGUGCGUAGGCGGCGCGGUAAGUCGGGUGUGAAAUCUCGGAGCUUAACUCCGAAACUGCAUUCGAUACUGCCGUGCUUGAGGACUGGAGAGGAGACUGGAAUUUACGGUGUAGCGGUGAAAUGCGUAGAUAUCGUAAGGAAGACCAGUGGCGAAGGCGGGUCUCUGGACAGUUCCUGACGCUGAGGCACGAAGGUCAGGGGAGCAAACGGG